rnacentral:tRNA from 1 species
GGAUAUAGCUCAGUUGGUAGAGUGCUUGCCUCACAUGCAUAAGGCCCUGGGUUUAAUCCCCAGGACCA